GCGGGUGUAGCUCAGCUGGCUAGAGUGCAACCUUGCCAAGGUUGAGGCCGUGGGUUCGAAUCCCAUCACCCGCUCCA
rnacentral:tRNA from 1 species